rnacentral:lncRNA from 12 species
GUGGAUAUUAACGUCUUCCAACUUUACUCCACUCGAGAAGUACUUUUUAAGGGAGUAUUUUUCUGCUCCGUAGCUUUGAAGAUCAGUACAAGAAGCUUGCCCUGUGGAUGCAUGACAUGGAAGAAAGAAUAAGCACAGAAGCAUUUGGAGAGAGCAAACAGCUUGUUUCUGAGAAGAAAAAGGAGGUGCAGAAAGUGGAAAAGUUCCUGGAAGAGUUGCUGAAUUCAAGGGAUUCUUUUGAUCAGCUCUCUCAAAUGGCACAGACUUUAAAUGAAGAAGGCCAUGGUGCUGGGAGGGAAGUACGUCUGGCGUCUCAACAUCUCACCAAUUAUCAAAACAUGGUCAAAAAUGUCAAGGAGAAGCUGAGGACAAGUCAGCUUGCACUCCAGGAGCAUCUCAAUUUUGAGGAGGCAUUGCAGAGUAUGUGGUCAUGGGUGAAAGAGGUUCAAGAUAAACUGGCAUCAUCACAGAGCACUCUUGGAAGCAAAGCCACCCUGGAAAGACGAUUGACACAAAUUCAGGAGAUCCUCUUACUCAAAGGUGACGGUGAGGUUAAGCUGAACAUGGCCAUUGGCAAAGGAGAACAAGCACUUAAAAGCAGCAAUGAGGAAGGACAAAAAGUGAUACAAACCGAGCUCCAGACACUGAAGGAUGUUUGGAAUGACACCAUCAGUACCUCAGUGAACUGGCAGAGCUGCCUAGAUUCUGUCAUUAGCCAGUGGAAUGACUAUCUGGAAAGGAAAAACCAGCUGGAACAGUGGUUGGAGAAUUUGGAUCACAAAGUGGAGCAGCCUUUAGAGCCACAGACUGGUCUGAAGGAGAAGUUUGCUCAGCUGGACCAUUUCCAGGCUAUUGUUUCAGAGAUAGAGGAUCACUCGGGUGAUUUGCAGCAACUCAUUGAAAAAGCUGUGGAACUACAUGAAAAAACAGGGGAUGAUUCCUUCGGAGAUGCAGCUCAAGAAGAACUAAAAACACAGUUUAAUGACAUCACAACUGUUGCCAAGAAAGGGAAGAAUAAAAUGCCUACCUAAGCAGGAAACAUAUUGUCAGAAAGAUAAAUCCUAUUGUCAG